UGGAAAAUACGUAAAUAACGCCAGUAAAAUCAUUCAAUAAAUGGUUUUUAGAAAGCGGCAAGGUCAAGGAUCAUGUCCGUGUGCAGAAGAAAUUGUGCCCAUCAUGAUAAGUGUACGCCGACACGAAAUUGUGUAUGCGACAUUUACAUGUAUGGAUAUGGAGUGAGAGUCCGUGCCAUGCCACACUUACUUAGUCAUGUUAGUGGGGCUAGUACAAGGCGAGCAACUAUCAUGGCUAGCAAACCAAAAGGUGUUAGAGGCGAUAGUAGCAUUAUUGGUCCGUUUGGUCCCCUGCCUGUGGGCACAUCUUCUGGCACCACUGCCUGAUAGAGUAAGGUGAUGGCAGCGUGGUUGGUCCCCCACCUGUGGGUUCAUCAUCAUUUUAGCAUCACUUCCCUGACAGAGUAAGGCGAUGGCGGCAUAGCUGGUCCCCUGCCUGUGAGUUCAUCUUCUGGUUUCACUGCUCUGAUACAUGUAGAAUUUGGGAAGGCGAUGUUACCAGUUGAAGAUGCUGUGAUGCCUUCCUGCGUUCUGGUAAAUACAUGUACAUCUGUCAUCGUGGUGAGAUUAGACUGACCAACAAUGAAAUCUUCAAAUUUAAAGAUGCGGCUAACGUCAUUGGUUGCAGAAGCUCAUUCUGUGAAUGUGUUUCUAAGACAUCAUGCGUUUGCUGGAGGACACAUCAUGCAUAUGCAGGAGGAGACAUCAUGCAUAUGCAGGAGGAGACAUCAUGCGUAUGCAGGAGGGGACAUCAUGCAUAUGCUGGAGGAGACAUCAUGCAUAUGCAGGAGGAGAAGCUGAUCUAUGUAUUGAUGAGAAGCAAGCCCUUGUUGCCUUCAUUAUGGAGGAGAGAAGCAAGAGGGAGGAUAAGAUCUCUCAGGACUUCCCAGAGAUGCUUCACAAGAAAGUCAAGGAGAGGACGUCACUCUCAUACCAACUUUCGUCUCCAUCACUGAGGAGGAAUAGUUUCCAUGGUUAAAACAUCCAAGAUCCUCAGCAGAAUCAUAAUCGUUGAUUCAUAAAGGCAAGGAUAAGACUAGGUCUGUUCAAAGAUGCAGUUACUUUGCAAUGGUCUCAUUUUUCCGCCAUGCUGAGAUCUCCAGAUAGUAACCAAACAUCGCCAAGUGACACAAGUACAGUAAAUCCCUAUUUUGAUUCACUAUAGGGGUGUGCUGAUUCCUAUUGUUUGUACUUUCAUGCACAUGAUCACCAUACAUGUACAUGUACAGUAUGUGCAAACGUCCAUGUGUAUGCGUUGAAGUGGUUUUUGCGGUUGUCAUGGCAUCGAGUGUCAGAUUUGAUGAAUACAAGAACAAAAGCCACAGAAUGCUGGGAUAGUGGAAUUGGCAGCAAGGACCAGGAUUCCCCUGCCUAUUCGACUGUGAGGUGGCCCACCUCACUGAUUUUAGUGACCACCUCAAGCUUUUCUGUUGAAUUUUGCCACCUCACAGUUAAUAAAGACAAUUCAGACGGAAGGAAAAAUCAGAAAUCAAUAAUGACCACCUCAUUAUAUAAGUCCCCCAUGGGAAACCCUGGCUAGGACCAUAAGGUCCUAGACCAGGAUCCAUACGUACAUGUACAUGUAAUACUGAAGAAAUCUACUUCCCCUAGUGCAGCACUGAUGUGUAUCCAACAUGUACAUGUAUGUGGAUAAAGCAAUCCCUUAAUUCCCCCAUCUUCCAGUCUUCCUGAUAUUGCCUGGUAUUCACCUUAGACUGCACGAAAUCUGGAAACACACCCAGAGGGUGAUCAAAUGCUUGGCAAGUGUGUGUGCAAAUUGAAAACUCAGCACAUUUGGUAAUUGCAGUGUCUGAGCCUGGCGGAGGAAUGAGACCAUUACAUCUUACUUCCCUCCUGGUGAUGAAGCAAGUCUGUGCAUUUGUACAGAGUGUCCCUAAAAAAGACAACACAAAACAUUUAGCUUUCCCAAAUUAAUUUUUAGAAUGUUGCUGUCAAAUUGAAGCUUACUAUUUUUCUUUCAAAAGUUAAAGACUUCAUUUGAAUCUGAUGAACCAUUGCAGAGAUAGUUUUGAUUACGUGUAUGUACAGUAAGCUAAUUGCUUUUUAUUCUGUCCAAUGUGAUUUACCACGGUAUUCAAAAUGCAGUUUACGUCAUUUACCAUCUAACUACGUGUAGAUCACAGAAAAGACCUACCAAAUGAGGAUAAGGAACUAAACAGGGUUCUAUUAUGUUUAUGAUAAAACCUCUUUUAUUUUCCAUCAACAAAAAACAUCCUAAAAUGGUUUCAAGUGAUUAAUGGUACAGAAGUACGUACAUACAUGUACAUGUAAACAACAUCAGCAUGGUGUCGCAAAUUGUCCAAGUUAAUCAGAACUUUAACCAAAGUUGUUUUCAAUGAAGCAAACUCAUUCAGUUCACCAUUUUCUGAACGAAGCAUCAAUUUUAAGUUAAGAACGAGGAAAUCCAAAGAAGUAAAAAAACUGAAGCAGUCUUUUGAUAAUGUGACUGAACAGAAUGUUUGCUUUAAACUGUUUGAACUUCUUAUAGACUGAACAAGUUGCAUUAUGAAAGUAGAAAUAUUUCUGAAUGCAAUAAGAGUUUUAAAUGAAAUUUCUAGUACAUUUUAUUACAAUCAGUGAUUUCUGGAAAUUCCUUAGGGAGAAAAUGAAUGCCGUAUAUUGGUAUACAUCACAUGUACAUAUACCUUCAUCUAAAUUAUUCAUGAUGAAAAAGUAUUUUUUAUAAUGGAAUGCAAAAUUUGUCCGUUUGCCAUUCAACAAAUAUUAUUACUUGUCUUUAAUCCCUAGGGGUAAGGGUUAAUCUGUGCUAUUGCAGUUUAAUCAUACAUGUAUAUUUAAUCUGUGAUUUCCUCAUAUUUCUUGCAUUUAAAAACAUUCCUGUGUAUAAAAGCUAUCAAGAUCUUUAAUCUUCAAAACUUGCAUUGAUUAGUGUGAUAAAAAUCACUAUAUGAUAGGACAAAUUAUAGGACUCCAUGAAAAUUGGAAAAUUGCCUAUUUUUAAAGUAUUGGAAAAAGGAUUUUACUUGGAGAUUACAACACUGCAAAUCAGAAAUUGGUUUGGCUACAAAAUUACUAAACUUUUUGCCUGUGGGUGUAUGUACAGCGUACAUGUAACAAAACCACUAUAUGAACAACGCAGCCAUUUGAAUUGUAUCUGCGUGUGAAAUAAAUGUAAGUUUAAAGAAACAAAAGAAGUUGUUUUUAGUUCUACUUGUUAAAUGUAGUUCUUUGUCACAUACCCUUCCCCUAAAUCUCAACAGAUGUGCUCUCCCUGAUUUGUGAUAGCUUUCUUUUCCUUGAGAUUUUACAUUUCGGACUUUUCCAAAGCCCUGCCAUUUUAAACUUCCAAGCUCAUCAAGCUCCAUCUUAAAGCUUUUUGUCACUCAUUCUUACCAGACUUAUAUAAACCCACUAGCAAUCUGGAACAUUAAGCACCUUGCCUUCCAACUCCAAGGGAUCUUUGAAGCCUUGCCUUAUACUGAUAGUCCUAAGCCCUCAGCCACCCACUCUUCACCCUUAUCAGCUCUCAGACUUCCAGCCCCAGAGUUAAAAUAAUGCAAGUGGUACCCCUUGCUGUUCCCAAGGCAGGCUUUGGCUGAAAAAUAUUCUAAGUCCAAACAAUGGAAGGUUUAACAUUUAGAAACGAGCACAUUUUUUCAAGAAAGUGCCGUGGCAUAGCGGUUAAGGACACUGACUGCUAUGCACAAGGACCUGGGUUCAAUCCCAGGUGGGCAUGCACAAUUUUGUUAAAAAACUUAGUAAAAAAAAAAAAAAAA
rnacentral:lncRNA from 1 species